rnacentral:rRNA from 1 species
GACGAAGGGGGCUAGCGUUGUUCGGAAUUACUGGGCGUAAAGCGCGUGUAGGCGGUUGUCCAAGUUGGAUGUGAAAGCCUUGAGCUUAACUCAAGAAAUGCAUUCAGGACUGGAUGACUAGAGGACCGGAGAGGAUAGUGGAAUUCCCAGUGUAGUGGUGAAAUACGUAGAGAUUGGGAAGAACACCAGUGGCGAAGGCGGCUAUCUGGACGGUUUCUGACGCUGAGGUGCGAAAGCGUGGGGAGCAAACAGG